rnacentral:rRNA from 1 species
GACGAACGCUGGCGGCGUGCUUAACACAUGCAAGUCGAACGGAAAGGCCCUGCUUUUGUGGGGUGCUCGCGUGGCGAACGGGUGAGUAACACGUGAGUAACCUGCCCUUGACUUUGGGAUAACUUCAGGAAACUGGGGCUACUACCGGAUAGGAGCUCCUGCUGCAUGGUGGGGGUUGGAAAGUUUCGGCGGUUGGGGAUGGACUCGCGGCUUAUCAGCUUGUUGGUGGGGUAGUGGCUUACCAAGGCUUUGACGGGUAGCCGGCCUGAGAGGGUGACCGGCCACAUUGGGACUGAGAUACGGCCCAGACUCCUACGGGAGGCAGCAGUGGGGAAUAUUGCACAAUGGGCGGAAGCCUGAUGCAGCAACGCCGCGUGCGGGAUGACGGCCUUCGGGUUGUAAACCGCUUUCGCCUGUGACGAAGCGUGAGUGACGGUAAUGGGUAAAGAAGCACCGGCUAACUACGUG